CUCCACUUUGUACCAGGCGGAGGAUUUCCUCAAUGCAUUGUCCACAUUCUGGAGAGAAGGCAGACAGGUCUGAGUUUCCUGAGCUGUCAGCCAUGGGUCUUUUGAAGUCCUACUGGUGUGGUCAGGGCCUCU